UACGUAGGGUGCGAGCGUUAAUCGGAAUUACUGGGCGUAAAGCGCGCGUAGGCGGCUUUGCAAGUCGGGUGUGAAAUCCCCAGGCUUAACCUGGGAACUGCAUUCGAGACUGCAUUGCUAGAGUAUGGGAGAGGGAAGUGGAAUUUCCGGUGUAGCGGUGAAAUGCGCAGAUAUCAGGAGGAACACCGGUGGCGAAGGCGGGUCUCUGGGCCGAUACUGACGCUGAGGAGCGAAAGCGUGGGGAGCGAACAGG
rnacentral:rRNA from 1 species